rnacentral:rRNA from 1 species
GAUGAACGCUGGCGGCGUGCCUAAUACAUGCAAGUCGAGCGAACAGACGAGGAGCUUGCUCCUCUGACGUUAGCGGCGGACGGGUGAGUAACACGUGGAUAACCUACCUAUAAGACUGGGAUAACUUCGGGAAACCGGAGCUAAUACCGGAUAAUAUAUUGAACCGCAUGGCUCAAUAGUGAAAGACGGUUUUGCUGUCACUUAUAGAUGGAUCCGCGCCGCAUUAGCUAGUUGGUAAGGUAACGGCUUACCAAGGCAACGAUGCGUAGCCGACCUGAGAGGGUGGUCGGCCACACUGGAACUGAGACACGGUCCAGACUCCUACGGGAGGCAGCAGUAGGGAAUCUUCCGCAAUGGGCGAAAGCCUGACGGAGCAACGCCGCGUGAGUGAUGAAGGUCUUCGGAUCGUAAAACUCUGUUAUUAGGGAAGAACAAAUGUGUAAGUAACUAUGCACGUCUUGACGGUACCUAAUCAGAAAGCCACGGCUAACUACGUG